UACGAAGGUGGCAAGCGUUGUUCGGAUUUACUGGGCGUACAGGGAGCGUAGGCGGUUGGAUAAGCCCUCCGUGAAAUCACCAGGCUUAACCUGGAAAGUGCAGAGGGGACUGUUCAGCUAGAGGAUGGGAGAGGAGCGCGGAAUUCCCGGUGUAGCGGUGAAAUGCGUAGAGAUCGGGAGGAAGGCCGGUGGCGAAGGCGGCGCUCUGGAACAUUUCUGACGCUGAGGCUCGAAAGCGUGGGGAGCAAACAGG
rnacentral:rRNA from 1 species